ACUGAGCUGAGGAGAACGUUUUAGACAGAACUGAACUCAAGAAGAACUUAGGAGUAAAGGCAGAGCAUUGGGAGAAAAGACAUUGAGACUAAGAACAUUACUGUGACAUCAGAACAGGAGGAGAGAGCAAGAUUGGAAGGAGAAUGCAGAGUGGAGUAACUCUGAAACCAAAGAUUUUGACAGCCUAGUGGGAGCUGGUGUGCCAUUGCCUCGGCAUUGUUGACCCUACCUCGGAUGAGUCCCAGUUUACUGUUGAGUCCCAGUGUACUGCUAGUCUUGGCUUGAAGUUCAGCAUGCAAGCCUCCUUUCUAUGAAAGCUUUGAUUGUAUUAAUCUCCCAAGAUCUUAACCCCAGGAGUCAAGGGAUCACUCAGAGGCUUCAGAGCUAAUCUGUUCUGUAGAUUGCCCCGUGCAUAUGAUCUGAAACUGGUAUGCAUCGCAAUUGUCACACCCAUCAUAUUCAAACUGGUCUAUAGUCUUGACUAACGAGCACAGCAAACAAGCCCGCAGAUGCCGCAGGUCCUUCGGUACCGUCUCCAGGGCCAUCCUCACCGAUGCGACAACACAGGUUCCUCCAGCCGCUUUUUUCUACUUCUAUCAUGUUUAAUGUUCCAAAUAGAUUUUUAAAACUGGUUGAGUGUGUAUUAGUCUUAGCUUCAGAAGAUAUCAUGUAUAUUUAAGAGGCAUUUAACUACUAUAAAUUAUUUUGAUGACUUAAAAAUGUUAAUACUGAGUUGUAUAUUUUUAAGUAAAUUUCAUUAGUUUAAUAAAAAAAUCAAUUU
rnacentral:lncRNA from 1 species